AUACCAUCUUGGCCAACAUCAGGGGACGCAGGAGUGGGAUCAGGGCUGGGGCAGAGGGUUGACUGUAAUCCAGUUAUGUGAUUGUAUAAGCCAGCUGAUCUCCAGUGGUCCCAUGUGUGCAGCUUCAGAGGGGGCAGGGGUGAAAAGGAAAGGCUUCAGGAGCAUCCCCAGAAACAGCAACAGCCCUGAGCCAUAAUGACGGCUGACUGAUGACGUUUAUCUGCUAUCCUCACACCCUGUUUUGGGGUCCCCCACCUGCCACGCAGUGAACAAGCCAGGGUUCCCUUGAAACUGGAGACUUUUCUUUUGUGUGAGCUCCUGGCUUUAGAUGCAUCUUUAACCACUGUGGAACCUCCAGGAUGAAUGUACCAGAUAUGCUGGGGACAUCCAGGCAAGGCAUGCCUGUUGAGCGAUCAAGCUCACUCAGUGUGUCCAGGCAGAGAAGUGUGGCCCAAAUAUGUCCUCAUUAUCCAUUGACUGCAAUGGAAUAUUCGUGGAAACCUGUAGCACAGUGCAGGACCAACAGCAAAAAGGUUGAGAGGCAAAGGGUAUUCUACCAUCUACCACACAGGAUAUGCAAAUCCACUCCAGGAGGAUCUGACUUCUUGCUGCCUACAAAUGUGCACAGGGCUGCUUGUAUGUCUGUGACUCAUACCCACCAUCUGUAUUUUAGCCAAAAUACAGACAUGCACAGACAGGUGCAUCACGUAGAUGGAGAGACCAACAGAUAAGAGACAGGUGGGGAGGUUUCUGUUUUCCUUCCUGCCUUCUGGAGAUUUUGGCAUUCCUCCUUUUUUGCUCUUUCUCUGCUUUGCUGACUAUAAAACUCAAAAAGGAAUGGAAGAAUAGAAUGAGAGAGACCUGCCAAUGGGAGGAGAACAGGAGAGGUUGAUGGGAUGGUCCAGAAGAACCAACCAAACUGAAUAUCUCAAUGAGACAACAGCAUUUUGGUUCCUCACCAGUAAUUCUCAUCUCUUGUAAUCAAGGUGUUGCGGGUAUGGACACAGAAUGAUUCCCUCCUGUCCUGUGCUAGUAACCUUCCUUUCCUCUAGAACAGACUUCCCUACUUUAAUUCAUGAUGCCAAUGUUUAGAUGCUACAUUGAUAAGUGCUACAGGAAACCUAAGAGAAAUAAAUAAUAAAUAUCCUCA